rnacentral:lncRNA from 1 species
UACGCCAAAGCAGGAAGGUUCUGCUUGUACUUUGUACCCUCGACCGGAGGUUCCAGGGCGAAAGAGGAAGUCUGCGCCCUCUGCAGCAAACAAACAAAUCAAACUCAAGAUUGCGAAAUUUCAUUGCCCAGAAAAAGAAAUGAAAAAAAAAAAACAAAAAAGAUGUCAAUUUUUACAGCCAAAUCUUAUGGCUACAAAUAGAGAGCUAGCUGCCUGGGACUGAGCUGGCCGUCGCACAAUAAUGUAAAUGGAGGGUCCUCUGGCAGCUUCUCUGCGGAGUGGCAGUGGGCAGCCUAGAUUAU